CGGCAUGCGCGCUCUAUCGCUGCCACCGCAAGGUGGGGGAGGAAAGUCCGAGCAACGCAGAGCACCACGCAAGUUAACGGCUUGAUAUCCGUGAGGGUAUAGUAGCGUAGAAGAAAAUAACCGCCCGCAAGGGUAAGGGUGAGAAGGCGGGGUAAGAGCCCACCGCGAGGGUAGCAAUACGCCUCGGCUGUGCGUCUCGUGGGUUGCAAGACCAUGUAUACCGACAAUUAAGGGUUGCUCGUCCAAUGUCGGGGGGUAGGUUGCUGGAGGCUGUGGGUGACCACAGUCGUAGAUAAAUGAUAGGGGCGUCUUCGGAGGAACAGAACUCGGCUUAUAUCGUGUGCAGAAAA
rnacentral:RNase_P_RNA from 1 species